ACGAACGCUGGCGGCGUGCUUAACACAUGCAAGUCGAACGGAAAGGCCCUGCUUGCAGGGUACUCGAGUGGCGAACGGGUGAGUAACACGUGGGUGAUCUGCCCUGCACUUCGGGAUAAGCCUGGGAAACUUGGUCUAAUACCGGAUAGGAGCCAUUUUUAGUGUGAUGGUUGGAAAGUUUUUUCGGUGUAGGAUGAGCUCGCGGCCUAUCAGCUUGUUGGUGGGGUAAUGGCCUACCAAGGCGGCGACGGGUAGCCGGCCUGAGAGGGUGGACGGCCACAUUGGGACUGAGAUACGGCCCAGACUCCUACGGGAGGCAGCAGUGGGGAAGAUUGCACAAUGGGCGCAAGCCUGAUGCAGCGACGCCGCGUGGGGGAUGACGGCCUUCGGGUUGUAAACUCCUUUCGCUAGGGACGAAGCUUUUUGUGACGGUACCUAGAUAAGAAGCACCGGCUAACUACGUG
rnacentral:rRNA from 1 species